UAUCUGGUUGAUCCUGCCAGUAGUCAUAUGCUUGUCUCAAAGAUUAAGCCAUGCAUGUCUAAGUACAAACCUUAAUACGGUGAAACGCGCGAAUGGCUCAUUAAAUCAGCUAUGGUUCCUUAGAUCGUCUCAUCCUACUCGGAUAACUGUGGAAAAUCUAGAGCUAAUACGUGCUUACAAGCCCUGACCUCACGGGAGGGGCGCAUUUAUUAGAUCAAAACCAAUCGGGGCUUGCCCGUCUGCUUGGUGACUCUGGAUAACUUUUGUGCUGAUCGCAUGGCCUCUGCGCUGGCGACGUAUCUUUCAAGUGUCUGCCCUAUCAACUUACGAUGGUAGGUGAUAUGCCUACCAUGGUUAUAACGGGUAACGGGGAAUCAGGGUUCGAUUCCGGAGAGGGAGCCUGAGAAACGGCUACCACAUC
rnacentral:ncRNA from 1 species